rnacentral:rRNA from 1 species
GCGGCGGACGGGUGAGUAAUACGUGAGGAACCUACCUCCCACAAGGGGAUAGCCUCGGGAAACCGGGAUUAAUACCCUAUGACACUUAAGAGUCGCAUGAUACUUAGGUUAAAGCGCUUUAGCGGUGGGAGAUGGCCUCACGUCCCAUUAGCUAGUUGGUGAGGUAACGGCUCACCAAGGCGACGAUGGGUAGCCGGCCUGAGAGGGUGACCGGCCACACUGGGACUGAGACACGGCCCAGACUCCUACGGGAGGCAGCAGUGGGGAAUAUUGCACAAUGGGCGAAAGCCUGAUGCAGCGACGCCGCGUGAGCGAAGAAGGCCUUCGGGUCGUAAAGCUCUGUCCUAUGGGAAGAUAAUGACGGUACCAUAGGAGGAAGCCCCGGCUAACUACGUGCCAGCAGCCGCGGUAAUAC